GCAGAAGUGACAUGCUUAGCAAACGGACAGUGGAGUGCUCCCUUCCCAACAUGCGGAGCUCCUUCGGGUUGUGGAAAACCAACACCCCUUGAAGAUGGAGACAUUGAGGGAACUGUUGGACACGAGUACAGGAACGGAGCCAAGGUUAAAUACUUAUGUCCGAAUUACUACAUAAUGCAGGGUGGUCCUCACAAAACCUGCACCAAUGGUCAAUGGAUUGGACAGAUGAGAUGCCUCAAACCCUGCACUGUGUAUAGUCAAGACCUGACUACACAUAAUAUUGGCUUCAGACAUAGUACAGACAAUAAAAUGUUUUUCGAACAUGAUGAUAUAAUCGGGUUCAGGUGUACCAGUGGAAGACAUGACGGCGCAUUGAACAUGCGUCAGAAAUGUAAUGAUGGUGUGAUGCUCCUUCCUACUUGCCACUAAAGCUUUUUAGUCAACUGGAUGUGAUGACCAUGAACUAGCUGGACAAACAUGUACAUGAUUAACCAAAGUAAAGAGUUAGACCAGUUCUUUCCUAAUCAAGUGUGUGUAACCCAGUGCUCCGUGUGGUCAUUCUAAUAAAACAAAUAUGUUGACUUGG